UACGGAGGGUGCGAGCGUUAAUCGGAAUUACUGGGCGUAAAGCGCGCGUAGGCGGUCAGGCAAGUCGGGUGUGAAAGCCCUGGGCUCAACCUGGGAAUUGCAUUCGAUACUGGCGAUCUUGAGUCCGGGAGAGGUGAGUGGAACUGCGAGCGUAGAGGUGAAAUGUGUUGAUAUCGGAAGGAACACCGGUGGCGAAAGCGGCGCACUGGGGCUUAACUGACGCUGAGGCACGAAAGCCAGGGUAGCGAACGGG
rnacentral:rRNA from 1 species